rnacentral:rRNA from 1 species
CCUACGGGUGGCAGCAGUGGGGGAUAUUGGACAAUGGGGGGAACCCUGAUCCAGCGACGCCGCGUGAGUGAAGAAGUAUCUCGGUAUGUAAAGCUCUGUCAGUAGGGUACAAAGAACUGACGGUACCUGACCAAGAAGCCUCGGCUAACUACGUGCCAACAGCCGCGGGAAUACGUAGGGGGCAAGCGUUAUCCGGAAUUAAUGGGUGUAAAGGUAGCGUAGACGGUUAAGUAAGUCUGGCGUGAAAGGCCGGGGCCCAACCCCGGGACUGCUCUGGAAACUAUUGAGCUUGAGUGCAGGAGAGGUAAGCGGAAUGCCUGGUGUAGCGGUGAAAUGCGUAGAUAUUAGGAAGAACACCGGUGGCGAAGGCGGCUUACUGGACUGUAACUGACGUUGAGGCUCGAAAGCGUGGGGAGCAAACAGGAUUAGAUACCCCUGUAGUC